rnacentral:rRNA from 1 species
GCUGGCGGCACGCCUAACACAUGCAAGUCGAACGCAGUAGCAAUACUGAGUGGCGAACGGGUGAGUAUAAUGUGGGUAUCUGCCUUUUGGUUUGGAAUAACACGGGGAAACUUGUGCUAAUACCGGAUAAGCCUUCACAGGGAAAGCUUUAGCGCCAAAAGAUGAGCCCGCACUUGAUUAGCUAGUUGGUGGGGUAAAAGCCUACCAAGGCAACGAUCAAUAGCUGAUCUGAGAGGAUGAUCAGCCACAUUGGGACUGAGACACGGCCCAAACUCCUACGGGAGGCAGCAGUGGGGAAUCUUGCACAAUGGGGGAAACCCUGAUGCAGCGAUGCCGCGUGAGUGAAGAAGGCCUUUGGGUUGUAAAGCUCUUUCGUCGGGGAAGAAAAUGACUGUACCCGAAUAAGAAGGUCCGGCUAACUUCGUGCCAGCAGCCGCGGUAAUACGAAGGGACCUAGCGUAGUUCGGAAUUACUGGGCUUAAAGAGCACGUAGGUGGUUAGAAAAGUUGGUGGUGAAAGCCCAAGGCUUAACCUUGGAACUGCCACCAAAACUAUUUAACUAGAGUGUGAUAGAGGUAAGCGGAAUUUCUAGUGUAGAGGUGAAAUUCGUAGAUAUUAGAAAGAACACCAAUUGCGAAGGCAGCUUUCUGGAUCAUUACUGACACUGAGGUGCGAAAGCAUGGGUAGCGAAGAGGAUUAGAUACCCUCGUAGUCCAUGCUGUAAACGAUGUGUGCUAGACGUUGGAAAUUUAGUUUUCAGUGUCGCAGCAAAAGCGUUAAGCACACCGCCUGGGGAGUACGACC